CAAGUUGCAUCCCCAAAUGCGAGGCUGGCCUGACCAAAAAGAGCCACUCGGCGCCCGGGAGAGGCGAGACUCGCGCUCGGGUUCUCAAUCCUUCUCUUUUCUCCUUUCUUUUUCCCUUUCUCCUCUCCGGUUCCUGAUUUAGCUGGGAGCUGUUUAUUUAUGGCUGCAAAUGUGUGUGUGCAAGAGAGAGAGGGAAUUGAUCUUUGCCUGGACUUAAAGAUGGAGCCGAAGGAGCUGGAGGGAAUUUGGGCUUGUGCGUCUGGCCCAGACCCUGCGCGCCUAGAGGGGCCAUUGGGCGCCGAGCCUGACGUCUAUCCUCCCCGCACCUCUCACCCCGCGACCUUGCGGGAAUCCGCGGGCCCGGAUGCUGCCCGUCUGACCCUCCUGCCCCAGGCCCCGGCUGCAGAGAAAGUCUUCGGGCAGGAGGCCAUCCUGUCUCUGUCUUUAAAAUGAGCACAAUAAAAGGGGGCAAAUCCUCGAACGCGAACCUGAUCUCAUGUCACAGAAGCAACUUGCCAUGAAAUCCGCUAAUGCGCCGCGACUCGCCCACCAGGAUAAAUAACCCCAUCGUCCGUGUAAUUAGCCCGUUCCCAAUGAAGUCAUUUUCCUCGAAUGCACUCUCUGCUUGCCACACUGGAGGAAUCCAGCCCACAGAGGUUUCGGAAACCCAGUUUGAGUGAUUCCAGCCUAGACUGAAACCCUGCGAACCUCCCAGGAAAGAGAGCCCGGCCCGGGCCAAGCAGUCGGACACACACACACACACACACACACACACACACACACACCCCCCGACGGUGUAGCUCUUCACAGGAUGGAAGGCUGGAUACGGAUCUGGGAGGCUGUGGCUAAGCGAACCAGGAAGACUGUGAGGGAAACCAAUACAGCAGUGUCAUCUUGAAAGUUAUUUGGAAGAACAGGACCUGGAGUCUGGGUUUGAAUCAAAAAAUUAUGAGCAAGGGACAGAUUACCCAGUAUUUCUUUGGAGCCAGACAGAACUGAGACCUGCCCAGCUGAACCAGCUUGGUUUGGAUUAGGAAAUUAUUCUCAGACACAGUAGCACACACAUCCUCUGACAGCGAGCUCACUCCUGGGCAGUGGGCUUCUGGCUCUGCCACUGCUCUCCACAACCACCCUACAGGCCUCCUCCAGGUUUUGCCAGGCAAAUGAAACGAGCGGAACUCGAUAGUAAAUUAUUUUGUUCAGCUUUCUCUCUUUUUAUGAAAAUAAAAGGCAACACUUUGUCAUUUUUAAUCACAUAAGCAGAAAAUAAAUCUAAUUUUGAUAUUGA